AGCAGCUGUUGUCCCCUGGCCCCCGCAGCCGUGUCCACCGCGUCGACACUGGAGCGGACCUUGUCGGAACUACAGACCUGUCUCCCACUCUGGCGGCUGCGGACCGGACAGACAGCCAGGGAGAGGUUCAACAGACCUGUUGCACCCAGAGAAGAGCCCCAAACCGAUCGGCGCGCCAAGAGCCCCGAGACUCUGCUUGCCAAUAUCCCGAGAGCCCAGCACCGACGGGGAAAUGUGGGAAGCUCCCAGACGCAAUUGAGUAAUCAUCUCAGUGUUCAGGGCCCCUCUUCCUACCCACUGAGAUAGCGGCAAAUAACUCACUAACCCGGGAGGGCAAUGGAGAGGCGGAAGCCCUGUCUACUGAAAACGAACAUCUAGCGCAGGUGCGUGCUAGUCUCGCCUUUCCAUCCGCCGGGUCCUUGCCUAGCGGUCAGAAUCCCGCGGUCAGGUCUCUGGAGCCCCUCCCCGGCAAAUCCGAGCUUCUAGCUUCAGCACCAGAAGCUGGACAGCGCCCUGCCCGCUGAGCGCGGGACGAUCCCUGGGACGCCGCGCAGAGGAGUGCCUGAGGUGAGACGGGUUUGCAGAAGGAGGGACCCACCUUCUCCAGGGGUCUGGGUGUCGGUUUCUUGGCGGGCGUUCUGUCUCCUCUUAGUACGUCCAGCGGGAAAACUUAGUGCUCAGUGCCGGCCGGCGCCCGGACAAGACGCGCACGCUCAGCGGGGCUCGUAGGGGCCAGGAACGCGCAGCGUCUAUUGUGUCCCUGGCCUUGGAGAUCUUUGGAAAAUCGCCACAGCCUCUCUCUCGCCCGCCCCUUCCCGCUCCACAAUCUCCGUAGCCCUACUAAAAGUGAAUGAAGGAAAAAGCGUUGGGGUGGAGAGAGAAGAUAGUGAAGCCGAGGGGAGAAGCACAUUUUUUCUAGGUCCUCACCCUUAGGGGUAAGAAAAAAAAUCUGUCCAAUGAACAUCAAGUUACACGUUUUUUUAUCCAGACACCCAAAGUGCCCUUUGUACGAGCAGCGGAGGAGAUUGUUUUGCCAGGAAGGGGGGCAAAAAGCCCCGAAGGGGGAGAAUCUACCACAAAAGGGCUAACAGAGGAGGGGAAGAGGAGAGGAGCGGACAAAACUCAGCAAUGCGUGGUUGCUGGGCAACCAGCCGCAGCCCCAGCCUCCUGUUGCCUUGGUUACAGUGAAUGGAGGGGCUUUGGCUACUGAUUACCCAUGAGCACCAUGACUCUUUAAAAUGUGCCUUGGGAGCCCUUGCCUUCCCCAGGCUGGGUGGAAAUCACCACCCUCCCAAGGAAUCCUCCCCCACUACCUGGGGAAAUCCUGGAAGAGGAAUUUUUCCUUUUAAAUCAAGGCACGGGGCAAUUUCCCCUCAAUCCUUCCCACCCCCCACCCCCCAACACUUGCUUUAGAAGUAAUAGUAACCUACCCUGCCAUUUCUUCAAGAUUUACAGUUUUUGCCCCCCUCAACGCGCACACACUUAUUCCUUUAUACUGGAGGCGCUGAUCUCUCCCCAUUUUCUCUCUUCCCUUUCCCCCUCUUUUAAAUGAGAAAAAUAUGUUUGCUCCUCGUGGGAGAACGAGAGGGAGGCAGGACUCUCAUCCAAGGGUAUCUAUCUACUCUGAAGAGAGUCUUAGCAAUCACAGGCCCCAAGGACCCCUCGCAGGGGGAGGAGGUGAAUUCUGGGUUGAAUCACCCCACAGACCUCAAGGAAGGGAGAAACACAUCUCCCUCAAGAAGUGGCCGCUGGCUCAAGAUUCUCUUCUCUCUCCUUCCUCCCAGCAUCCCCUUCACAACCAGCAAGCACAGUGCAGCCAGCUUCUGGUCCUCUGUUUUCUCUUUGCCCUGAUUGACAAAUAUUGACUCCACUUUCCACCCGUCAGCCCUGCUCCCGUGCGUUCAUUCGUAUCGUCUGGCUAGAGAAGCACUUUACCCGCAGUUUUUUAAAGGCAAGUGAACCGUUCUCAGAGUGAUUUAAGGGGAAACCACCAGCGAGUUACUAGAACAACCUAUGUCCUGUAGAUUAGUUUAUCCAGAAUACUUCUCAUUAAGAGCCAAGAAUUUUCUAUUUCCAAAGAAAACCCUUUUUUUAAAACUGAGGUAUCACUUGGGAGCACAGGGAGAAAAUGUCUGUAUUUUAGGCAGUAACCAUCAUAUCUCACCUGCAGUGCCUGCACCAACAAACACAAACAUCUUUCCUUAUAUUAUUUUUCCUUCCUUUGUUGAUAAAAUAUUUUUUUUAAAUCACUAUAAUUUCAAUGUAUGCUUAUGGCCAAAAAUGACCUUGGUGGACCAGCUAGAUAUAGUUGGUGAGCAUUUAUGCUAAAAUGCCUCUCAAGUGUUUCUAUAGAAAUUUCUGACAGACCAGACCAGACAGCUGUUCUGGUUUUUGUACUUUUUUCCUCAAAGAAAUGCUUUAUUUUAUUAAUUCUCCUGAGCAGUGAUCACUGAUCACAUCAAUAAUGUCCUAUAGCAAUAGUAGUUAUUUUGUUACAAAAAAAUUAUCUUUCUGCUCAUUUCUUUAUGGACAAAGGAUUUACUUUCCUUUUGAGAAUAUAAGCAAGAUCUUACUGGCCAGGAAAGAACCAUUCUCUCAUUGGUUGGUGUAUAAUGCCUUGUAACCCAGUAAGAGGAUGCCAUUUAUCCUUUUUUGACUAGCUGAGUGAGCCGGGUAGCCAGGAUGAUUAAAUCUCCCUCAGUGCUACCCAGUAGCAAAAGGUAGAACUCAGAGUUCUGGGGCCCAGGAUCUGAGACUUACUUUGGCUAAUCCAGAAUGCAUUUGACUGGCAAGGAUGAACUUUUCUACCUUGCUACUUGUAGUUUACUUGAACAAAUUUGCAUAAUACAUUGUUCUAUGGAUUUUUUUUCAUUUUAUGUUAUGUCAUGAUCACCCCAAGUCAGUGUAGGCUAUUGGUAUCAGCACAUUGAGGACCCAGGGUUUUUUUAUGAUUUCCCCUAGAAGUACAGAAUUGGUUCUCACCAUUAGGGAUAUGGUGAAAACUUUACAGGGUAAGGAUGGAAAGCUAGAAGAGAUGAAUAGUUAUUGCUGAUUUUGGAUUCACUCUGUUAGCUUUGCUAUCCUAUGAUUAUUUGAUUUGUUUGUUUUCCAACUUCAUUCUUCCUAGCUUUCCUUCUGGCCUGAAUUUUCAGUGAGAAGUAGAAAAGCUGAAUGGAUGGAGAUGGUGACCCUCUAAGUCAGAGUGAGGGCAGACCUAUUGCUACCAAAGAAGGCUUGUGGCAGGUUGAUGAUGCGGCCCCUGGAGUUGAAAGUUAUCUCAGCCCCUCAUGGCGUUGGUGUUGGGCAGGACAAACUCUCCUAUAAGCCUGGCAGCCUGCAGGAUGCCUUCACAACUGAGGAUCAAAUGUGUGACCCUUGUACUCAGCUGCAUCCCUAGCCCUCUUUUUAUUUUGAAACAAGGUCUUGCUAAGUCACUAAGUUGCCCAGGCUUAGCCUUCGAGAGUGACGACAUUACAGGUGGGCACCACCCCUACACGACCACCUCCAGCUCUUCCUGUUUCCCACCCUCCUUCAAUGUACAGUUCUUUGUGAUUCAUGAAGAAAAGGUAGAAAGAUCUACAUCUCCCUUUACUUCUAACCAUAGCAAAGCCAGUGGGCAGCCAGUUCUAUUAGAAAUCUCAUUCACACUUGAGAAGUCUGCAAAUUGGCAUCGCUCAGCAGGUGUCUGCUCCUCACGGCCGGAUGUCAGGAUGAGCAGAGCAGGGGGACAGCGGACUCAAGAGUCAGUCUCUCCUGGCAGCAUCUGGGGCUGGAGCCAGGUAAACGGGCAGAAAGCCUACUUCCGGAAACAAGCAUCUGGGGAGUGGGGUCCGCUCCUGGUUGGAGAGGUGGAUGCAGGGGCCCCUGUUGGUGCGCAGAGGAGGGAGUCCUGGCUCUGAAGUCAAACACGCACGUGUCCAUCUUGGCUGCACCCCUGCACAGGUGUGUGACUUUAAGCCAGUCACUUAACGUCUUUGAGCCUUGGAUCCUUGAACUGCAGGAUGGAAUUAGUCACCUCCACCGUGGCAGGUUGUUGGGACAAGUCGGUCGUGGAUGCAGAGCUGCACAGGCACAGACUCCCCCUCCCCCACUGUCCCCUUCCCGGAAGUCAGGGCGCCCGGGAACCUCGAACCACGGUGGAGUUGUAGCCACGCCUAAGGGGUGACCCUUCCCCUCCCCAGGUCACUAUGCCCUGCAAUUCGCGGAAGAAUGAACGCACCCCAACCCCCUCCCCACCGCAAAACCACAGAAAUCAAGGACUAGAAUUUGUGGCUUGCCUCUAAGUCACUCAGCAAGAUUCACAAUUUAGUGCUUCGUGAGGUGAUCUUCUAGGUAGCCCAAAAAGGGCCUCGGGUUCCUCACCCUCACCCAUCACCCGACUUUCGCGGUCCUGGUCCAGCGCUCACAUCGCAACUGCAAGUUUCCCUGGAUGUGCGGGGAUGCGGCGCCCUCUGCUGGGCCUUCGAUGCAACUGCUCGUUAGGCGAGCAAGGGUGGAGAGUAAAAUUUCCCUGGAUCAAAUCCUUCCGGUCUUUCAUUAAAAUACUGUGCGAAAUUAACCUGGAUCUAUGAGUCCUGGAAAUUCUUAGAAGCUAGGGGCACUAUACAAGUGCCACAAUCGUCUUGGUGACAGGCCAUGUCCUGGUAGGUCCAAAGUCCAGCCACAGUGGGGUCAUGAGUGCCAGUAGAGCCAGCUGUGGUGGCAUGGGCCUGUAAUCCCAGCACUCCGGGAAGCUGAGGCAAAAGGGUUGCAAGUCUGAGCUCAGCCUGGGCAGUUUAGCGAUUUAAUGAGACCUUGUCUCAACAUUAAAAAAAAAUUUUGUUUAAAUACCUCAGUUUGAAAGACCUGGGUUCAAUUCCCAGUACCCGCCCCCCACCCCACACACAAGGGAAGCUGCUUGACUUACAGUUAGCCCCCAGAGUUUUGUCAGCUUCGUUCCCUCUAACUCAAGGGGUCUUAAACUCAGCCCUGCACCAGGAUCAGCUGCUAACCAGUCAGCUCGGUAGAAUACAGAUCACUGGGCCCCCACCUGGCUAUCUCACUCCAGGUCCAACAAAUUCCCAGCCAAGCUCUAGGCUGCUGCUCUGGGUCCACACUGAGAGAACCACUGCUCUGAAAAUUGGUCAGAUCAAUACACCCUUUCAGGUCUACGACUGGCUCAGAUCCAUGAGGAUCCCCACAGCCCACCCGAAGCCCUCAAAGUGGUGCCCACAGCAGGCAUAAUAGUGCCUGGAUGGUCCAUAAGGAUUCGUGCUCGAAAAGCAGAUCGUGUCUCCAGAUGUCUCAUGUGCUCCGGGAUUGAAACUGUGGGGUCCCUGGGGGAAGGGUUUGACCAUAUGCUUUCCUCACCAGGUUCCACCCCAAAGGGUUCUAUUACAGAGAAGCCCUGGCCUUUGAAAGAGGAGCUAUUUUCACUCUAAGAGCUGAAGAGUCUUGAAAAUUCUUUUUUCACAAUGCGAGUCAUCGAACCUGCACUUCUUCUACAAAAGAUUGGGUCAAGUUCCUUAUUUCAGUUUCAGGCUCUCAGACCCAGCCCAGUGACAAGCCUGGACAACUUAGUGACUUAGUGAGACCCUGCUGGGCAUUUAAUGGGUUCAACCCCAUUUUCUCUCCCCUCAAAUCAGCUCUUUGUGUAACCCUUGAGAUAUUGUAGAUUUUAUGGAUUGUUCUUCCUAUUGUGUACUCUUAGCAUCCUGCAUCACACCCUCAAAAUAACCCUUUUAAAUAAAGUCUCCCUUUACUCAAUCCGGACUAUUUUUUUACAUUCUAUGCAGCAUUCUUUACAUUUGGCUCCUGCUACAGCGUUUUAUGCAAGCUUAUUGUAUAGAACACCCUUGUGCUUUCCUGUCCCAAGAAUAUGUUGAUAAAUUUGAACUCGCUAAUUCUGAAAAUUUUUCUGUGAUCAUAAAGCUGUAAGUGUUCAUUUGUUAUGCAAUAUCAGUACCUCACUUAAAAUAAAUACACAGAAUUUUCAUUAAAAUAAAUACACAGCAUUCAUAAGAAUCUUUCAGAUUUCCGCAACAACCUCAAAUUCUUUGUCACAG
rnacentral:lncRNA from 1 species